rnacentral:rRNA from 1 species
UACGAAGGGGGCUAGCGUUGCUCGGAAUCACUGGGCGUAAAGUGUGCGCAGGCGGCCGCGCAAGUCGAGUGUGAAAGCCCCGAGCUUAACUUGGGAAUUGCGCUCGAAACUACGUGGCUGGAGUGUGGCAGAGGAAGGUGGAAUUCCACGUGUAGCGGUGAAAUGCGUAGAGAUGUGGAGGAACACCGAUGGCGAAGGCAGCCUUCUGGGCCAACACUGACGCUCAUGCACGAAAGCGUGGGGAGCAAACAGG